rnacentral:sRNA from 1 species
UGUAACAGCUCCCCAAGAGUGAAUUAAAACAUAUAUAUGUAUAUUUUUAAAUUAAAAAAAAAAUAUAUAUAUAUAUAUAUAUAUGUGUGUGUGUGUGUGUGUGUGUGUGUGUGUGUGUGUGGUGGAUAUAUAUUUGGCACUGGGAAUCAGACAAGCAAUGCUCUACCACUGAGCUACAU